rnacentral:rRNA from 1 species
UACGUAGGGUGCAAGCGUUGUCCGGAAUUAUUGGGCGUAAAGGGCUCGUAGGCGGUCCAUCGCGUCGGGAGUGAAAAGCUGGGGCUUAACCCCAGUCCUGCUUCCGAUACGGGUGGACUAGAGGUAGGUAGGGGAGAUCGGAAUUCCUGGUGUAGCGGUGAAAUGCGCAGAUAUCAGGAGGAACACCGGUGGCGAAAGCGACUUCCUGGACCAAUACUGACGCUCAUGUGCGAAAGCGUGGGGAGCAAACAGG